UAGGGAAUCUUCCACAAUGGACGCAAGUCUGAUGGAGCAACGCCGCGUGAGUGAAGAAGGUCUUCGGAUCGUAAAGCUCUGUUGUUGGUGAAGAAGGAUAGAGGCAGUAACUGGUCUUUAUUUGACGGUAAUCAACCAGAAAGUCACGGCUAACUACGUGCCAGCAGCCGCGGUAAUACGUAGGUGGCAAGCGUUGUCCGGAUUUAUUGGGCGUAAAGCGAGCGCAGGCGGAAUGAUAAGUCUGAUGUGAAAGCCCACGGCUCAACCGUGGAACUGCAUCGGAAACUGUCAUUCUUGAGUGCAGAAGAGGAGAGUGGAACUCCAUGUGUAGCGGUGGAAUGCGUAGAUAUAUGGAAGAACACCAGUGGCGAAGGCGGCUCUCUGGUCUGCAAACUGACGCUGAGGCUCGAAAGCAUGGGUAGCGAACAGGAUUAGAUACCCUGGUAGUCCAUGCCGUAAACGAUGAGCGCUAGGUGUUGGGGACUUUCCGGUCCUCAGUGCCGCAGCAAAACGCAUUAAAG
rnacentral:rRNA from 1 species